CGACAUUCCCUAUAAUUCUUUCAGGUUGAAAGCAGUCAACCAUGUUUCAUGAGCCCCAGUCUCUGAUGGCUGAGUAUGCACAAGAGGCUAUCUACUCAUUACUCAUCUCUAAUUACUAAAUUCAGAAAUUCCUAGCAAAAUAAAUAACUCAACAAGUAACCAAGUAAAUGUAUGGCUGAAGGAAAAGAUGUUAUUAUGGGACUAUACCACCAUGGAGUGGAGUGAAAGAGGAUUCCUUUUAUAAAUGCUGAAUUAGAAAGGCAGAAAGGGAAGACACGCACAAGUGAAGAAUAGGUUUUAAAAUAUUUGUCACUGGCCCUUCUUGAGCCAUACUAGACUUUCUUCACAUUCUUCCAAUUCUCUUCUAAAUUACGUAAUCAGAUCCGUCUAACACAAUGAAUAUUAUUUUAGCAUAUCAUCAGUGAUCUCAAGAUCAUUAACUCCAUAGUCAGGAGAAUCAUUAGUGUUAACCAAGGAUCAAUCAGUUCCCCUUUGGACUCCAAAUCUAAAACACACAUCUAGGUUCCAGAGAACACUGUGCAUUCUACCCCGGAUCAAGAGAUUUCAAAAUACCAGUAACUUACUAGUUAAGUCUUCAUCUAAUAUUAUACUCUUCAGUAUGUCAAUGUAGAAAAUUGUUGGUAACCCUGACUAUGCUGACUAUUAGAGAUGACACUAGCAACAUGUGACUAUUUACAUUAAAUAAAUUUUAUUCUAAAAUGUAUUCUAGGGGUGCCCGGUGGCUUAAAGGCAGUGGCUUAAAGCCUCUGCCUUCGGCUCAGGUCACGAUCCCAGGGUCCUGGGAUCGAGCCCCGCAU